CCUACGGGAGGCAGCAGUGGGGGAUAUUGCACAAUGGGGGAAACCCUGAUGCAGCGACGCCGCGUGGGCGAAGAAGUAUUUCGGUAUGUAAAGCCCUAUCAGCAGGGAAGAAGAAAUGACGGUACCUGAGUAAGAAGCACCGGCUAAAUACGUGCCAGCAGCCGCGGUAAUACGUAUGGUGCAAGCGUUAUCCGGGUUUACUGGGUGGAAAGGGAGCGCAGGCGGCACGGCAAGCCUGAUGUGAAAGCCCGCGGCCCAACCGCGGGACUGCAUUGGGAAGUACCGGGCUGGAGUGCCGGAGAGGUAGGCGGAAUUCGUGGUGUAGCGGUGAAAUGCGUAGAUAUUAGGAGGAACACCAGUGGCGAAGGCGGCCUACUGGACGGUGACUGACGCUGAGGCUCGAAAGCGUGGGGAGCAAACAGGAUUAGAUACCCCUGUAGUC
rnacentral:rRNA from 1 species